rnacentral:lncRNA from 1 species
AUAAAUGAAAUGUCAUGAAAUUUUCACUGGGUAAUCAACUAACGCAUCAGUCGACAUACAGAUGGCGUCACUAGGGGGCGCUAGCUUCAAAAAGUCAUGUUUACUUUGCAUUGCACCUUGUAUAAAUAUUUUAAGUAAGAUAAAUAUGUGAAUAUAGUUUUACUUUUGAAAUGCGUAAGCUCCGCGUUACUAGUUUUAGUAAUCCAUUGUUUCUCAAUCCUCAUUGAUUGUGGAAGGAAACAUUUCUGAUGCCAUCAACACUGCUUCUUCUGCAGAUAUUUCUUUCACUCCUCCUUCAUUGAGUUUAAAUAUUAUUCCAGUCAGCGCCACCACCCAUGAAAGCGGGGAAAAGACACUUCCUUGAGGAGUGUCUCUGCUUAUGUAGCUUACUCAUUUCGAUGAGCCAUUUGUUGCUAUUAUCGUUUUGUUCCUAAGCGUCGACACAUGAGCAUCUGUGAACUGUAACUACCCGCUUUUGAUAGAAACACCACUUUGAUUCUUUUUCAGCUUGUCAGUAUGUAAAAUAGUUCGAUGUUAGCCUUACAAGUAUAUACAUAUGUAUUAUUGCCUUGGAAGCAUUAGUUUCUUUAACCUUUGCAUCAUUAUGGGAAAAAUCCCAACUAAAUACUCGUAUAUGGCAUAAAUGGCAUGAAACUGUUUAUUGCGAAUGAGUUGUCUAUAAAGUUUUUUUCUUACUUACUAUGAAUCCGAAUUGGUCACCUAUUUUCGCAAGUAGUUGUGGUUGCAUAUCUACUGCGGCUUUCUGACAGCCAGAAAAGUGCGUUUUUAUGAGUUAAUCUAAGGAUUCACCUGAAAAGGAUCUCCAAGAAGGAGCCAUCGCAUUUUGAGAAGCGAUUGGUUGAGUAAGGUGAAAAUAUUGUCUAACAUUUUCACCUUUUUAUGUUAUUCUUGAAAAUUGAUCACCUUAUUCUUAUAUUUACUAUUUUCUAAUCAUUUUGUAGCUAUCUUGGUAAAUUUAUCCCAAACUGUUGUUCCAGAGUUUUCGCGGACAAUGUUCAGUUAACGACGAGGCUAUUCGAUUAGGUUGAUCGCGUAAGCUCAUAGACUUUCUCACAGCCCGAAAAGUUUAAAGAGCUUGGAAAAAUAAAUGUUGGCUCCUACUGCUCCUAUCUCACAUAAAUAAAUUGCUAUUUAGAAUAUAUUAGGGGGAUUGCUCUUGCAAAACCCUUGCACGGUGCACGUAUUGCACGGAUUUCAGAGUUAUCCGACUCAACAACAAAACACACGCUGAAAAUAUUUCCAAUUGCUGUAUAAUAUGUCGGAUCAAACCCCAUCUUCACUUUUGUGCAAUGACACGUAAAAAAAUAAUUGCAACCUUGUACCAGCUGUCAUUUUACAUAGGGACAUAUUUCGCCAAUAAUUUGUUGAGAGACUUUUUUUAAGAAUAAAUACAGAAGGUGCGGGGAGCGAAGAUGAAAAGGCAAUGACUGGCUCGCUACAAUUGGCGCAGGACUCCAAGAGGAGGCUGAUGGUAGAACCAUUGAAGCAAAAAUAGCUAAAAUGUGUCCCUACUACGCCCAGCUGAGGGAAAUACUUAUGUGGAAAGCGUGUACCGGGCAUGCAACAGUUACUGUUUGCCUUCGCCUCAGCUGUGUGCAGCGAGUUCUGCUCCAAAAUUCGAUAUCAAAUUUUUAGAAGCGGAAAAUGCACUUGCUGCGCCUUCUAUCGCACCAAUGUGCACGCCAUGUCAACUGGGCAACCGAAAUCUUCCAUUGAACAAUUGGAGGCUAUCCAAGCGGCGAAAAUUGCCAUGGAAGAGAAGUAAUUUGAAUUUGAAAAAUAUUAGUUUGAAAAACAAAUUAAAAUUCAAGAAAAAAAGGAUAUAGAAUUAAAGAUAUUAGAAAUAGAUGAAAAAUAUAUAUUGUUAGAUUUAGAAAUGAAAGCAAGAGUGGUUAAGUACGAAAUUGA